rnacentral:lncRNA from 1 species
GGAUAAAUUUUGGUUAGCAAUUAUAAUUUUAAAAUUUAAUAAUAUUUAAAAUUUUACUGUGAUACUCUUUUAUAAUAUUUUAUUAUAAAAAAAUAUUUAAAAUAUUAUAUAUUAUUAUUUUUUAUAUAUUUUAUUAUUUUUAAAUAAUUUUUUUCUUUCUUUUUUCUCCUUUCAUAAUUUUUUAUUUUUUUUAUCAUAUUGAUCUUAUAAAAUAAAAUUUUUGGAUUCGUCACUUGCAAAA